CUCGCUUUCUUCCAUGAUAGCUCGCUCGCCUCAACCCUUUCCCCUCUCUCUUGCAGGUCCUUGGUAGCCUUAACCGCACCAGCGGUGGAGCCGGCGAGCCGGCGACUCUCUGUCAUGUCGCCACUGUCACGUCUAUAACAGUGCGGAAGGCAGUGUCGGGUCGGCAAGGCAAGAACUCAGCCGCGCCAGGAGUAUACCUCAGCCACGCUUUUCCAGGGACGCAAAGGGUGAAGAUAAGUUUUUCUUUUCUUUCUUGAUUCUUAAUUUCUGAUUUGAUGUUGCUAUUUGGGGUUACCGUCAAGUAUCCCUGUAGUGAGUCAUGUUCAAAGAAAUCCUCACAUUCAUUGGAACUGGUGAUUAGAGAUCGAAAGAACCCGUACGUGCCAAUCAUGACCAUCAGUCAAUGUCACAUCGCAAUUAUCAUGUAGCCCAAAGGAGAGCCACAUAAUUGACCAUGAGGCCUGUACUACCAUCCUGUCGAACGCAACACACAAGUGUAAAAUGCAAGAGACGAACCCUAAAAUAAUGGACGUUCGUGACCCUCUGUUUCGAUUGUGCUGCCUGACCAUGGCCUCGGAUUGCAUCAGCGGCUGUGCUAGGUUUGCACGGAUGAGGCGUACAGUGUGUCCGUGGUCUGUUCGGUAGCACGGACAAGAGCGGCGCGGUCGGAUGGGGCAAGGACGCGAGCGGCACGGCCAGUUGGGGUGUGGCGGCCAACAACCAUGAAGUUCAAUCGCGAACGAUGAUUGAUUGAGAGGUUAAUCGGCCAUUAAUGCCAAUCGAUGCUCCGGGCAGCCUAUAAAAUCCCAACCUUGCCCCUACUGUGCUCAUUUUCGCAAACCAAUCUCCAGUACAAAUGUGAUGGGUGAUGCUCAGGUUCCAACUCUGUUUGGUUUCAAGGUGAUGUGCUGGUUCCAAUUCUUAGUUGUUGUCUUUCAUAAUUUUAAAUGAUUAGAACUUCUCUCCAAGUAGGAAUUUUCGCUACGUUCUGGUUGGUUUCUUUGGUUCUUCCAGCUGAUCUAAUGGCUAACGGAGAGCAGGUUAUUUAGAAAGUGAAAAAUGCGGAAAAGAAGCCACGAUUAAUGCCAGUCGAUGCUCCGAGCAGGCCAGUUACAAUGGCAAUUCAGGUUUUCCAUUCAAUUCAUGCGAGCCCAUAUAAUACCAACCUUGCCGCUACUCCUUUCCCACACUGCUCACUUUGGCAAACCAUUCUCCAGCACAUCAGCGAUGGAUGGAUGAUGCUUAAG